AGUGAACGCUGGCGGUAGGCCUAACACAUGCAAGUCGAACGGCAGCACAGUAAGAGCUUGCUCUUACGGGUGGCGAGUGGCGGACGGGCGAGGAAUACAUCGGAAUCUACUUUUUCGUGGGGGAUAACGUAGGGAAACUUACGCUAAUACCGCAUACGACCUACGGGUGAAAGCAGGGGAUCUUCGGAACUUGCGCGAUUGAAUGAGCCGAUGUCGGAUUAGCUAGUUGGCGGGGUAAAGGCCCACCAAGGCGACGAUCCGUAGCUGGUCUGAGAGGAUGAUCGGCCACACUGUAACUGAGACACGGUCCAGACUCCUACGGGAGGCAGCAGUGGGGAAUAUUGGACAAUGGGCGCAAGCCUGAGCCAGCCAUACCGCGUGGGUGAAGAAGGCCUUCGGGUUGUAAAGCCCUUUUGUUGUGAAAGAAAAGCAGCAGGUUAAUACCCCGCUGUUCUGACGGUACCCAAAGAAUAAGCACCGGCUAACUUCGUG
rnacentral:rRNA from 1 species